UUUUUUUUUUUUCCAGAACACAAUCUCAAGCUCACAGAAGUCCGCAGCAAAGUCUUGCUGUGAAUGGGGUCUUUGUUCUGUGAGACUGUUUCUGAAGACUCCUGGCUCUCUGUUCGUCUUUGCAUACGAGGCUGAAACACAAAUUUGUCCAUAUGCUUUUGCUUUCAGCACGUUCGCGUCCUCAUAACUCCCACUUUCUCACAGAAAUGCUUGAAGCUCUCUGGUAGGUGUGCUGUAUAUUGUCACGGUGGCUAACCUGUGAAGCUGUGCUGAUUUAUACCACCUGACAGCACGCUCCGUAGCGUGUGUUUUUACUAAAUCCAUAUUUUUCCAAUUUCUUCAUGCUCUUGCAGUGGCAGUUUUUUUCAAUCCAUCAGGGAGUGGGAUCCUGCAUCCAGAGUAUGUAAAUAACAGCUGUUUCCACUCAAUUUGCAUUUAUAUACUUAACACUUCAAAAUAGAUUAUUUCUAGAAGCUUUCACAAUCUGGUCACAAUUCCUACUUAGUCAGAGGUACUGGGGAGAUGUUAAUGAAACCCCUCUGGACUAGCUGAGGAAAAAAAAGAUACAGCUGCAACAAUGAAAUUCCCCAGGCAGGAUGGAUCGGUUUUGCCUCUGACGGUCGUACUUCAACAAGGCAUGAAGGAUCUCAUUUCAUCUCCUUGGGCAUCUUCAGCAUGAUUUCUAAGUAGGUGACAGUGUGCCAGGUAAGGAGAGAAAUUGCCACAACAACUGCGCUGAACUGGUGGAGCAUUUCUAGCAAAAUUAAUUUAUUGUGUGAGUGCAGCCGAAAAGGAAAAAUAAUGGCAAAUUAUUUAUAGUGAAAAAUUUAUUUGCCAGUGUCACAGCUAUUUAAAUGAAUUAACCUGUUACAUCCUGAGAAGAAAACCAGCUCUUUAAUUUGUUUUGAUAUGACUACUUUCUUUUGUUGAUAUUUCACUAGCCCUGAAAUGAAAAUACAGCAUUUUAAUUUAAAAAAGCUAAAAUGGAGAUUUUAAGAAAUUAAUGUUCAUUUAUUAUUUUUGCCCAGAAAACUUUGAAAGCCUUUCACCUCCUUAUCCCAGAUGCCUCAGCCUGAACUAUUUUGUUAGAUUUCUUAGAUCCUCUGAAGGCUGAGGAUUAUGGAACAUUAAUAUUUAUUGACCUUCACUUCGUGUCAUUUACUCUGAUGUGGACUGUUGGAAGAGAUGUUUAUUCCUAAACCCAGAUUUUUCCUUUUUAUUAUUAUUAUUAUUUACAUUAUAGAAAUGCACUUUUCUGUAUCUGUAAUAUUGUUUAUCCAGAAGAAAAAUACUUUUAUGUUUACUGCAGUCCCAACAGGGGCAUCUCUGAACUGGGUCCAACGAUGCUGAGGACUCGAGUUGUUUGGAGAGAACAACAAUUAUGUGUGUGAGUUGUUGCUUUUGCAUGUCUCAACAAGCCUGUACCAGAGUCAUUUUAACUAAGUGGGAAGAACAAAGACGAUCUGAGCUCAGGUUGUCUGUAAAAACAACUUGGGUUCCAGCUACCUGGUUUCAGAGGGCAUGUUUGUAUUUCUAAAUUUAAAAAACUUCCUGAUGCCAGGAGGACUGACUUAUAUUCAUGAUGACUGGGGCUAGUUCCCUCUAGAGAGAACUCCCACUUCCACACUCCUUGGGCUCUCUGUGGUGCCCCCGCAGACCCAGCAUGUAAUUAUGAUUUUUUUUUUGUGUAUCAUUUCAGUUCAAAGUAUCUGAAAUGAUGUGCAACCGUCCUGCAGCCUGCUAUAACGGUGCUUCCCUAGUGUGAAAGCAAAGCCUAUUUUUUAACUGAAAACCUCAAAGUGUCUUAACUGAAGAAGGAGUCGAAGAGCACUGCUGCAGCACAGCUCUGAUCCAGUACAACUCCUACAGAUCCUGACCAGAAAAAUGUGUGUGUUUUGAAAAGAAACAAUAUAUUAACUUGAAUAUUUGAGUAAUGAGAAAGGCUAGCAAUUUUUAAGAAGCACUAGUCUUUACAUGAAACUAUAAAGCUCUGCUUUAGUGAGUAGGAAAUAUGUCUGUACAGCAGGGCUUUGCUUUUAUGGUUUAGACUUUUACUUAGGCUUCUAUUCUACAGGAUAAUGGCUUAAUAGAGUAGCCUAAUCUAACACAGCCGCUUUUCAUUGUUCAUUUGAAUUUUCUGUGAUACUUACAUGGUUAAACUUCUAUUAGUUUUGGCAGAAGAGAUUACAAAAAUCAGCUUGUCCAGAAUUCUUUUUCUAUGACAUCUCAUUUCGCUGGUAGAAAGAUUCUUUCGUUGAGGAAUUGUAAACUUUGGUAGCAGUCAAAACUGACAUCGUUUAAAAUAGUAAAGUGGGUCUGAUCCAAGACUGUUGUUUCAUCUUGACAAGCAAUAAAGCUGAGUGUAAGCAC